UUUCCGUAGGUGAACCUGCGGAAGGAUCAUUAUUGUAUAACCGAGGUGCGAGGGCUGUCGCUGACUCGAAAGGUCGUGCACGCCCGAGUGCCCUCACACACAUCCAUCUCACCCCUAUGUGCACCACCGCGUGGGUCCCCCUUUGGCUUGUUCGGAGGGGGGCUUACGUUUUCACACAAACUUUGUAUGCAGUGUAGAAUGUAUUUUUUGUUUUUGCGAUCACGCAAUCAAUACAACUUUCAACAACGGAUCUCUUGGCUCUCGCAUCGAUGAAGCAGC
rnacentral:misc_RNA from 1 species